UGAUGGUGACAUUUUACGAUAUCCCCGAUCAGUAUAUCCCGAUGACUAAUUUUGGUAAAGUUGUAAAUCCAUCCAUGGUGUCCUCGAGCAUGUUCGUCCUCGAGACACAAGGCCCGACCACAUCUCCAUCACGCUUCGCAUAUUGCAAAUAUGUGUCCUCGGGCAUGAUCCUCGGGAAUAUGCUCCCCCUUACUGCUGACGAUUGUUCACCCUUUAGAAUUCCUACGCAAUUAGGAAUCUUAACUCCCACAAGAGUCCUAUCUCACGCAUA
rnacentral:lncRNA from 1 species